UGGGGAAUCUUCCGCAAUGGGCGAAAGCCUGACGGAGCAAUGCCGCGUGGAGGUAGAAGGCCCACGGGUCGUAAACUCCUUUUCUCGGAGAAGAAGCAGUGACGGUAUCCGAAGAAUAAGCAUCGGCUAACUCUGAGCCAGCAGCCGCGGUAAGACAGGGGAUGCAAGCGUUAUCCGGAAUGAUUGGGCGUAAAGCGUCUGUAGGUGGCUCCUUAAGUCCGCUGUCAAAUCCCAGGGCUCAACCCUGGACAGGCGGUGGAAACUACUAAGCUGGAGUACGGUAGGGGCAGGGGGAAUUUCCGGUGGAGCGGUGAAAUGCGUAGAGAUCGGAAAGAACACCAAAGGCGAAGGCACCCUGCUGGGCCGACACUGACACUGAGAGACGAAAGCUAGGGGAGCGAAUGGG
rnacentral:rRNA from 1 species